AGUGGGUGUAAUGUACCUACUAGCCUACGACGGGUACGGGUUGUGAGAGCAAGAGCCCGGAGAUGGAUUCUGAGACAUGAAUCCAGGCCCUACGGAGCGCAGCAGGCGCGAAAACUUUACAAUGCGGGAAACCGCGAUAAGGGGACACUGAGUGCCAGUACCAUGUACUGGCUGUCCGCAUGUAUAAAUCACAUGUGUCAGCAAGGGCCGGGCAAGACCGGUGCCAGCCGCCGCGGUAACACCGGCGGCCCGAGUGGUGGCCAUUAUUAUUGGGUCUAAAGGGUCCGUAGCCGGUUUGAUCAGUCUUCCGGGAAAUCUGACAGCUCAACUGUUAGGCUUCUGGGGGAUACUGUCAGACUUGGAACCGGGAGAGGUAAGAGGUACUACAGGGGUAGGAGUGAAAUCUUGUAAUCCUUGUGGGACCACCAGUGGCGAAGGCGUCUUACCAGAACGGGUCCGACGGUGAGGGACGAAAGCUGGGGGCACGAACCGGAUUAGAU
rnacentral:rRNA from 1 species